AGGGUUAAUACGACUCACUUAUCAGUGAGGAGGCUGUGGAAAUCUCCAUAUAAAAGACUGUAACUAUAAUCCAGAAAGUCUGAAGAGACUGCAAGACUUGAGAUCGGGUGAUGUUAAACGUACUUUCAGGGUAAGGGUAAAAUCCUGUAAUCCCGGAAGGACGACCAGUGGCGAAAGCGUUUAACUAGAACGAAUCUGACGGUAAGGAACGAAGGCUAGGGUAGCAAACCGGAUUAGAUACCCGGGUAGUCCUAGCUGUAAACAUUGCCCAUUUGAUGUUGCUUUCCCGUUGAGGGAAGGCAGUGUCGGAGCGAAGGUGUUAAAUGGGCCGCUUGGGAAGUAUGGUCGCAAGACUGAAACUUAAAGGAAUUGGCGGGGGAGCACCGCAACGGGAGGAAUGUGCGGUUUAAUUGGAUUCAACGCCGGAAAACUCACCGGGAACGACCUGUGCAUGAGAGUCAACUUGACGAGCUUUCUCGAUAACCGGAGAGGUGGUGCAUGGCC
rnacentral:rRNA from 1 species